rnacentral:rRNA from 1 species
CUACGGGCUGCAGCAGUGAGGAAUAUUGCACAAUGGGGGAAACCCUGAUGCAGCAACGCCGCGUGGAGGAUGACGCAUUUCGGUGUGUAAACUCCUUUUAUGAGUCAAGAAAAUGACGGUAGCUCAUGAAUAAGCACCGGCUAACUCCGUGCCAGCAGCCGCGGUAAUACGGAGGGUGCAAGCGUUACUCGGAAUCACUGGGCGUAAAGGACGCGUAGGCGGGAUGUCAAGUCAGGUGUGAAAUCCUAUGGCUCAACCAUAGAACUGCACUUGAAACUGGCAACCUAGAGUAUGGGAGGGGGAGAUGGAAUUAGUGGUGUAGGGGUAAAAUCCGUAGAUAUCACUAGGAAUACCGAAAGCGAAGGCGAUCUCCUGGAACAUUACUGACGCUAAGGCGUGAAAGCGUGGGGAGCAAACAGGAUUAGAUACCCCGGUAGUC